UACGUAGGUGGCGAGCGUUACCCGGAAUUAUUGGGCGUAAAGAGCGCGCAGGUGGUUGAUUAAGUCUGAUGUGAAAGCCCACGGCUUAACCGUGGAGGGUCAUUGGAAACUGGUCGACUUGAGUGCAGAAGAGGGAAGUGGAAUUCCAUGUGUAGCGGUGAAAUGCGUAGAGAUAUGGAGGAACACCAGUGGCGAAGGCGGCUUCCUGGUCUGUAACUGACACUGAGGCGCGAAAGCGUGGGGAGCAAACAGGAUUAGAUA
rnacentral:rRNA from 1 species